UUGGUCAUUUAGAGGAAGUAAAAGUCGUAACAAGGUUUCCGUAGGUGAACCUGCGGAAGGAUCAUUACUGAUUUGCUUAAUUGCACCACAUGUGUUUUUCUUUGAAACAAACUUGCUUUGGCGGUGGGCCCAGCCUGCCGCCAGAGGUCUAAACUUACAACCAAUUUUUUAUCAACUUGUCACACCAGAUUAUUACUAAUAGUCAAAACUUUCAACAACGGAUCUCUUGGUUCUCGCAUCGAUGAAGAACGCAGCGAAAUGCGAUACGUAAUAUGAAUUGCAGAUAUUCGUGAAUCAUCGAAUCUUUGAACGCACAUUGCGCCCUCUGGUAUUCCGGAGGGCAUGCCUGUUUGAGCGUCGUUUCUCCCUCAAACCGCUGGGUUUGGUGUUGAGCAAUACGACUUGGGUUUGCUUGAAAGACGGUAGUGGUAAGGCGGGAUCGCUUUGACAAUGGCUUAGGUCUAACCAAAAACAUUGCUUGCGGCGGUAACGUCUACCGCGUAUAUCUUCAAACUUUGACCUCAAAUCAGGUAGGACUACCCGCUGAACUUAAGCAUAUCAAUAAGCGGAGG
rnacentral:rRNA from 1 species